GUCUUCGAGUCGUUGAUUUCACACUGCCGAGAAAAGCCUCUAGAUAGAAAAUAGGUGCCCGUACCGCAAACCGACACAGGUAGUCAAGAUGAGAAUUCUAAGGUGAGCGAGCGAACUCUCGUUAAGGAACUCGGCAAAAUGACCCCGUAACUUCGGGAGAAGGGGUGCUCUUUAGGGUUAACGCCCAGAAGAGCCGCAGUGAAUAGGCCCAAGCGACUGUUUAUCAAAAACACAGGUCUCUGCUAAACCGUAAGGUGAUGUAUAGGGGCUGACGCCUGCCCGGUGCUGGAAGGUUAAGAGGAGUGGUUAGCUUCUGCGAAGCUACGAAUCGAAGCCCCAGUAAACGGCGGCCGUAACUAUAACGGUCCUAAGGUAGCGAAAUUCCUUGUCGGGUAAGUUCCGACCCGCACGAAAGGCGUAACGAUUUGGGCACUGUCUCAACGAGAGACUCGGUGAAAUCAUAGUACCUGUGAAGAUGCAGGUUACCCGCGACAGGACGGAAAGACCCCGUGGAGCUUUACUGUAGCCUGAUAUUGAAAUUCGGCACAGCUUGUACAGGAUAGGUAGGAGCCUUUGAAACGUGAGCGCUAGCUUACGUGGAGGCGCUGGUGGGAUACUACCCUAGCUGUGUUGGCUUUCUAACCCGCACCACUUAUCGUGGUGGGAGACAGUGUCAGGCGGGCAGUUUGACUGGGGCGG
rnacentral:rRNA from 1 species